GCCUUUAGUAAAAAAAAAUAUAUAUAUUACGUGUACAUAUAUAGCCCAUGCAUAGCCUUCACGCAAAUUAUUAAAAUAAAUGAGAUCUUAAAAUUCUGAAGAACAGUGAUAUAUUCCGAACCUUUAGUCUUUCCAUCAGCCAUAUAAAACGUAAACCAGUUCUAUCCGUUGUUUUGAUGGGUGUCAGACUUGUUGCCCCAUGUUAAGGGACGAAUAUAUGGUGGUAGUUUGGGCGCAAGAUGCUGAUAAUAUUUGGACCCAAUAUGGAAGAAGUAACAGGAGGCUGGGGAAAACUGCAUGAGGAGGUUCUUAAGUUUCAUUCUUAAACAGGUGGGAAGAGAGAACAUGGAAGAGACUGACAUAUAAGAUACAAUAACAUUAACCAGGAUCUUUCAGGAAGAGAGUAGGAGGAUGUGGACUCAUUUAAGGUGGCCCAGGAUGGGAACUGGUUGCCAUUUAUUGCUAAUAAACCUUUGGGUUCCAUAAAUAGCAGGGAACAUCUUCUGAAGGUACUACACAUAUGCUACUAUGCUUGACUCAAGGCAACUGGCAAUAAUGAAUAGUCAAUAUUAGGGUUAAUUUCACUUUUAUCUUCAAUAGAAAUACUCACAUCAUUAAAACACUACUUUUAAGCAUUUCUAAGUUUCUUUUCACAUGUAUAUUUCUAGUAAUGUAACAUGAUAUUUUAAAUUAAAUGCUACAAUAAAUAUUAAAACAUAUGCUUUUGCAAUGUCAUUAUUGAGAUUUUAUGCUCCUCCUUCAGAAUGUAUUCAAGAAAAUGAAAUACACAGUACCCAGGACAUUAUCAAAGAAUGAUAUUCUUUGAAAGAAACAAUUUUAUAGAAAGCAUUUUUUUAAGUAACAUUGUCCUAUCACUUAACAGAACAAUAAUCCUUCAAAUAUCAUACACAACUAUCUUUCCCUCUGUAAUUUAUACUUUCUGAAUAACUACAAGUUACAAUUUUACAUACAACAUACGGUCUGCAUAUUUAACAAUGUUCCUGUACACACAUCCUUUAUUUAGCCUUCCUAAGAAAAGUCUUUUUUCAAACUAAACCAUUUUUCAUCCCUUACAUGAAAAUAUAAGAAUUUCAGUGUAAAAAAUUCAUUCAUUCAGUCAUAUAAACAAGUUUCCUCUCAGAGAAAUAUUUAAUGAACAGACUGUCCUAACAAUUCACUCUUUACAACACAUGUAAUGAUCUCUGUAACUUACAUAAUUCUCUUUUAAACUAUGGCCUAAACUUGUUUUGAAUAAAAAAUCGACAGGUCAGAUUGAUAAGAUACCAUCCAUACUCCAUUCCUUACUGAAAACACAAAAUAAACCAAGAAGCUGCGAAAUGAGGAAAUGAACUACACCUACACUAUUACUCACAUCUGUCCUCAGCAUUGCUCUGCCAUUUUACUUUAUUCCUCAUUCUGAUGUAUGGCUUAAAAAUAUGACAACCUGUAAAUCCAGAUUUAAUAUGUACAUGUGUACUGAGUACCUUUAAUGUGUUAUGCAAUUUCAUAAUUAGAAACGUUAAUAAUUUUGAAAAUGUGUAACAUCUUGUACAUAUUAACCUUUUAUGUACACACAUCUUGUACAUAUUAACCUUUUAUGUACAAGUACAUAAAACACAGUAAAUGAAAACUAUCUGCAUAUGGGUACAGAACAUACUUAUACUUAUUUUUUUAUUAAUAUUAAUUUAUUUAAUUGUAGCUGUAAUCAUAUUUGCAUUGUAUUAAUUGUGUGUAGUGUGUCCUUUAUUGCUUAUGGAGUUUUAUUGUCUUAUUGUACUAACACUGCCACUGAGUAAAAACCCAUUUGCAGAUUAAAUAUAAUAAUAAUAAAACCAUUACAAGUCAUGUAUAGUAGAAAUGAGUUUACAAUUCUCUAACUACAUAGGCAACUAAUUCAAUGGAACAAAUUAGCUUCAGAAGCCAACAGUCACUCUGCUGGUCAAGGAACUCCCCACUCUUUACAAAACUUCAGACAUUUGUUUCCCUGUAACUGGAGCCUAUCCUAACCCAGUUGAAUCUGGUCACACAUCCCCAUAAUCAUCCAUUUUAAUAUUCUCGUAUUUAUGCAUUGGGUAUUCCAAACUAACUUUUCAUUUGUGUUUUGGUCACUUAGUUUUAUACUGUAUAUUUUACAGUAUGUGUUUGUUUUUACAACAAACACAAGAAAAGCUUACAACAGGCAAAAUCAGAGGACAUGUUUAUUUGCAAGUACCAGAAUAGAGAAUUUGUGUGAAAAUAAUUAAAUCAACAAAACUAUCAGAAACUUCUGUUUAUUGACUGUACAUGUGCCAUGGCAGUAGUUUAUGUCGUAUACACAUUAAAUCUGAAGACUCAUUUAUACAUUCAGUGCAUUUCAACUAUAACUACCAUUAUCAGGCAUGUCACUUCAUUUGUUGAGCACCUUUGCUAGCAGGAACAACUCGUUUUUUUUUUCCUGUGGCGCUACAG